UAGGUUCCCUUGGUUCUUUGCUGAGAAUAUGCCUGCAGGGGACCGGGCCCACAUCUCCUGCUCUGUGACCUUCGCACCUCAGCGGCAGCAGAGGGAUUCUGCACACUUCCCAUGUCCUCACUCAGAACACUCCAGGGACCAGGACACAGCGUUGAGAUUUAAUACAACUCAGGACAUUCUCAGGCUACACCUGCUUCUCCGUGAGUACAUGGUGGUGGUGGUGCAGUGCCAGGGCCCUGAGGCAGUGUGCGGGGCUGCCAGAAGGGAAACCCCUUCUGCUUCUGCGCUGUCAAUGUGUGCGCCUGGCAGUGAGAGGUCUCCCCUUCUGUGGAGGGAGGCUGCGACCUCUUAUGGGCCCUGCUGGCAGAGCAGGGGUGGGUCCCAUGGGAGGAGGAGAGAGAUGGCCACCACCAAGUAAUGAGCUGCAGGGACAGUGGGCUGCACCUCAUCUGAUGCUCACAUGGGACUGGCAGCCGAAUGGGGCCUCUGACUGUCCCCGAUCCCAGCCUCUUUUUGGCCAAUUUAGGACGCUUGCAUCCCAAGGUGACCGGACAGAUUUCAGGCUCCUGUGGCUCCAGGACCAUCUUCCUUACCGACUCUCGUUGCUGAGAAGUGGAAGCCAAGGCCUUAUAGUGGGUUUGACUCCACUGGAACCAAAGCACCUCACCUGGGGACCAGACCAGGAGCCCCAAUUGCCAGCGAGUGGCACAGACACCCCCUCCCUCAGGGGUGGGAAGCCACUGUGGAUGCCCUAGCCUGUUCCCGCCGUCCUGGAGCCCCCCUGAGCCUUGGCAGGACUGUCCCUGGAAUGUCAUGCCAUCUGCAAGUGACAGAGGCCUGGAAACUUCUGUUCCAUUGAACUCUGCCAGGGAGCUAUACUUAGCCACCGAGUGCAGGCCAGGAGUGGGCUCUCUGAAUAUAGAUAGUAACAAGUGGGCUAUUUUCAAACUCCCAGAGAACCCCCUGGAAUAUUCCGAGUCAAAAUGAUGUUUAUGGAAUCUUCCAGGCUUUUGGAAGCGAAGGCAUAACCUUAGUGUGUCGGCAGCAUCAGCAGUGAGGUUUCUUUGAACGGGGGGUGCGGCAAGCAACGGGACCACCAAGAGACCGGGUGUCCCUCUUGCACCUGUUUCCAGGACCUGAGCUCGUGGGGGCUGGGCGCUAGCAUCUGAGUCAGAGAACAGUGGUUCUCCUGGUUGAGUGUUUGGUGCUGACCCUGCCUGUGGCCUUCAGGCCAUCACCCAGGGCACCUCUCAUGCUGAAAUGUGGGGUCCCCAGCCUUGGAAAUCUUGUUAUGCUUUCCCUCUUGUCCAGAAUCCUUGCUGAUCUCUUAGGCCUUCGCUUCAGCUACAGGUCACCAGGCCACUCCUAGCUCCGGGACCUCUGGUCCCUUCCUUGCUUGCUCCUGCCUUGGAAUGGGGUGACCGCAAGGCCUUCUUUAGGGUGAAGAGGGGAAAUGUGAUCAGUAAAAUUUGGAUAGGAAAAAGAAAGCCUAUAGGUGGAGGGACCCAAGUAGCAGCCACUGGAGAAAAGAUCCAGUCAUGCCCGCUUCACUCAGGACAGAAAUGCAUGAAGCUUUGACCUCCUUCCUGAUUCCUGUUCUGUAGGUGCAGGGAGAAGGUUUCAGAGAGCCAACUUGUAAAUGGCUGUCCCCAGUGAAUUCUGACGACAAGGCAACAUAACCAGGAAAGGCGAGGGGUGGUAGGGGGCAAGACCUGCGCAGCCAGGGCACUGUGGCCUCCCACUGGUCUGACUACAGCCCUCAUGCUGCUGGUGGACCAUCUCCCCCAUUCAUCUUCCGCUGGUUCCUGGGCAGGUGCUCGGGCCUCUCUUCACCCCCUGUGCCAAGCCAGCCUCCACCACCCUGCCCUCUGCCAGUCCAGAUAUAAAUAUAAGAGCAUUUUCCAUGGGCCGGCCCAGAAGGGCAAGCAUUCGACUUUAUUUUAGGGCCGCGAAAUUCCCUCCUUCAUACCCAACAGGUGCAUCGCCUCAUUUAGACAUCGGGGCCCAGAAAUAGAACACAAUCUACAAUAUAGCUUCCUUCAGGCAUCUGGAUACUAUUUGAAAAAAAAAAAAAAAGCUCUCCUGUGAGAUGGCCGGACAUAGGCCUGAUUGCUGGCUUGACCUGCUCUGCAGAGGAACCCAGCACAUGAGAGACUGCUGGGAGGGAGGAUCAUCUGGUGAGGGCAGGGCCCCUGCUUGGGACGAUGGACAGGAGGCAACGGGCACAGGAGGGGCUUCCAGUAAAUCCAUCACUUAAAAUCAGCUGCCCGUCCAUCCUUUGUGGGAUGACUGAGAGGUCAGGGGUCAAGCACAGGAACCCCGCCCCCCCCAGGCAUCUCUAGGCAAACACUGUAUUCACAUCAGCUGUUGGGGGUGGGCGGUGUUGAAAUUCCGACCCCCAGGGCCUCAGGAUGUGGCCUGAUUGGAACAAGGGUCUUUGCAGAUGGUCAAGUUGAGGUUGUCAGGGUGGGGUGCUAACCCAGGAUGACUGGCAUCCUCACAAGAAAGGGACAUUUGGACACAGAGACAGACACACAUAGGAAGAAGUCAAGUGAGGUGGAGGCAGAGAUGGGCGAUGGGUCUGUCAGCCAAGGAAUGUCAAGGACAAAGGCAAAGCAGUGGGAGCUGGGGCUAGACCCCGGACGGAACCAGCCCCUCAGGCACCUCGGGCUCGCGCUUCUGGCCUCCAGACUGUGGCAGAGCAGGUUUCCGUGGUUCCAGCUUCCCGGCACAUGGGACUUUAUUACAACAGCCUCAAGGCUGCUGGACACUGCUAUCUCAGCGCUGCCUCCUGCUCACACCGUCUGUCCCUGGAGGGAUAGCUGAUCCCUGUGGAGGGAAGGCUGCAGUGCAGGCCUGGGAACGUGAGCGUGGCUCUCCCAGAGCAUCUUCGUUCCACCUGCUGACACAGUCUGGUGCGUGCUGGAGCUGUGGCCCUUCUGGGUGGCCAGUGUCAUCAAGGUCACCGUUGGUCCAGAGAAGCCCAUGAUCGCGGUCAAGUUUCCUCUCGGAUGUCCCCAAGGUCCCUACAACGGCCGUCAUCAAACCAGCCAGCAGAGCCCUGUAGCCGUGAGAAGCCUCUGGCGGGAUCCGCAGGUGCUGUGUGGCCUGGCACGGGCCUAUGAAUGCCCCUCAACAGGCCUGCAUGGCCGGGGCUGAGACGGGGCCUCUGCCGCUCACCCUGUGGCCUCAUUCAGGGCCAGGACCAAGGUGCCUGACUGUCCCUCAGUCUGGGCCAGAAGUGGAGCUGCUGGCAGCAAGCCAACUCUCCUGCAGAGAGGAGCAGGUGUCCCCUCCGGGUGUCGAGAAUUCAAUCAGUCCCCGUUAGACUCAGGCUGCCCUCCAGGGGUCAGCUGGAGCCGGGGAGACACGCUGGCAAGACAAGGACCAGCUCAGCAGGUGACUGGGCGGUCAGGUGGUGGGAAGA
rnacentral:lncRNA from 1 species